rnacentral:rRNA from 1 species
UACGUAGGGGGCUAGCGUUGUCCGGAAUCAUUGGGCGUAAAGAGCGCGUAGGCGGCUGGAAUAGUCCGGUGUGAAAUCCACAGGCUUAACCUGUGAAUGCCGCUGGAAACUGUCUGGCUAGAGUCCGGAAGGGGCGAGUGGAAUUCCUGGUGUAGCGGUGAAAUGCGCAGAUAUCAGGAGGAACACCAAUGGCGAAGGCAGCUCGCUGGGACGGUACUGACGCUGAGAAGCGAAAGCAUGGGGAGCGAACAGG